ACCUCAUCUUUAUCAACUGGUUAAUCAAAACAGUACCAUGAGCUGAACAUGAAUUCCCUUCUUUUGCUUCCCACAUGUGAAUCAUUACAUAUUCAUCUGUAAGGAACACUUUCAACAGAAACUUUUUGACCCUUCCGCCCUUUCAUCACCCCUGCUUGAAAAAAGAAUAAAAUAACGAAAUCAAAAGAAAACAGUACCAGUGUUUGCUUGAUUUCUCAAUGUCCAGUAUUGGAUGCUUCUUACAAAAAUCACUAGGAAUUUUUUUGCCUGACAAUGCAUAGAGUAUGAGACAAGUAAUUACCUGCACAGUUACAAAAGCUGACUUCUAUACUACUGUUUGUUCUUGAAGUCCAUUUUCUAUCCACUUUUUCUUAAGUUUUGGUUGUACAAAACAUUGAUAACUUUUUUUUUAAAAUAGCGAAAUUUAAUUCACAUACAGGUAUCAAAUCAUCAGAUUACAUGAAAGAAAUUUUGGAGACAAUUCCAAGUGGUUGGAGAUUGUUGAAGAGGUCGAUCUUGUCUUAUUUUCUGUUUCUUUGACGGAUUAUGAUGAGUUCUAUGUUGACAGCGAGGGAUGUCGCAUAAACAAGAUGUUGGCUAGCAGGAAGCUAAUGGAGAAUGUAGUUACUCAUGCAACCUUUGCAAAUAAAAACUUCCUUUUAGUACUUGACAAGUUUGACUUGUUUGAGAAAAAAGUUGGACAGGCUCCUCUGACACGAUGUGACUGGUUUCAAGAUUUUAAUAUAGAGGUUCUUCCAUGUAGUUCCGCGUCUGUGGGUCAAUAUGCUUUUCACUACAUUGCAGUAAAAUUUAAAAGGUUGUUCGAUUCCAUCACCACUGGGAAGCUGUAUGUUUCACCAGUUACUGUACUAGGGGCUGAUAGUGUGGAAGAAGCUCUCAAAUAUGGUAGGGAAAUCAUUAAGUGGGAAGAAGAGAAAUUUACCGUCGACUAUAGUGAUGAUGAAUGGUCUUCUUCAAGCUUUUAGUCUAGCACAGCUCCAUAAAUUAUGUGUGGCACAUCCCUGUAAUAGGAGGUCUCUCUGCUUUGCCAAUGUUGAUGGUCAUCUUCCUUAAUACGUGAAAUGAAGGUAAAUGAAACACUAUAGGCGAAAUAUAAGUUAACAAGCUCGCACUUCAACUUAUAUUUUCUGGCAUCCACUAUGCCUUCUGUAGGUAGAGUGCAAUUGAUACCUCCAAGUCCAAGAAAAGGUUAAAUC
rnacentral:lncRNA from 1 species